UACGGGGGGGGCAAGCGGUUGUUCGGAAUUACGUGGGCGUAAAGGGCUCGUAGGCGGCCAACUAAGUCGGAUGUGAAAUCCCAGCUUAACCUGGGAACUGCAUCCGAUACUGGAUGGCUUGAAUCCGGGAGAGGGAUGCAGAAUUCCAGGUGUAGCGGUGAAAUGCGUAGAUAUCUGGAGGAAUACCGGUGGCGAAGGCGACUACCUGGCCUGUUCUUGACGCUGAGGCGCGAAAGCUAGGGGAGCAAACGGGG
rnacentral:rRNA from 1 species